rnacentral:rRNA from 1 species
GCGAUGAAGGACGUGCUAAUCUGCGAUAAGCGUCGGUAAGGUGAUAUGAACCGUUAUAACCGGCGAUUUCCGAAUGGGGAAACCCAGUGUGUUUCUACACACUAUCAUUAACUGAAUCCAUAGGUUAAUGAGGCGAACCGGGGGAACUGAAACAUCUAAGUACCCCGAGGAAAAGAAAUCAACCGAGAUUCCCCCAGUAGCGGCGAGCGAACGGGGAGGAGCCCAGAGCCUGAAUCAGUGUGUGUGUUAGUGGAAGCGUCUGGAAAGGCGCGCGAUACAGGGUGACAGCCCCGUACACAAAAAUGCACAUGCUGUGAGCUCGAUGAGUAGGGCGGGACACGUGGUAUCCUGUCUGAAUAUGGGGGGACCAUCCUCCAAGGCUAAAUACUCCUGACUGACCGAUAGUGAACCAGUACCGUGAGGGAAAGGCGAAAAGAACCCCGGCGAGGGGAGUGAAAAAGAACCUGAAACCGUGUACGUACAAGCAGUGGGAGCACGCUUAGGCGUGUGACUGCGUACCUUUUGUAUAAUGGGUCAGCGACUUAUAUUCUGUAGCAAGGUUAACCGAAUAGGGGAGCCGAAGGGAAACCGAGUCUUAACUGGGCGUUAAGUUGCAGGGUAUAGACCCGAAACCCGGUGAUCUAGCCAUGGGCAGGUUGAAGGUUGGGUAACACUAACUGGAGGACCGAACCGACUAAUGUUGAAAAAUUAGCGGAUGACUUGUGGCUGGGGGUGAAAGGCCAAUCAAACCGGGAGAUAGCUGGUUCUCCCCGAAAGCUAUUUAGGUAGCGCCUCGUGAAUUCAUCUCCGGGGGUAGAGCACUGUUUCGGCAAGGGGGUCAUCCCGACUUACCAACCCGAUGCAAACUGCGAAUACCGGAGAAUGUUAUCACGGGAGACACACGGCGGGUGCUAACGUCCGUCGUGAAGAGGGAAACAACCCAGACCGCCAGCUAAGGUCCCAAAGUCAUGGUUAAGUGGGAAACGAUGUGGGAAGGCCCAGACAGCCAGGAUGUUGGCUUAGAAGCAGCCAUCAUUUAAAGAAAGCGUAAUAGCUCACUGGUCGAGUCGGCCUGCGCGGAAGAUGUAACGGGGCUAAACCAUGCACCGAAGCUGCGGCAGCGACGCUGAUGCGUUGUUGGGUAGGGGAGCGUUCUGUAAGCCUGUGAAGGUGUGCUGUGAGGCAUGCUGGAGGUAUCAGAAGUGCGAAUGCUGACAUAAGUAACGAUAAAGCGGGUGAAAAGCCCGCUCGCCGGAAGACCAAGGGUUCCUGUCCAACGUUAAUCGGGGCAGGGUGAGUCGACCCCUAAGGCGAGGCCGAAAGGCGUAGUCGAUGGGAAACAGGUUAAUAUUCCUGUACUUGGUGUUACUGCGAAGGGGGGACGGAGAAGGCUAUGUUGGCCGGGCGACGGUUGUCCCGGUUUAAGCGUGUAGGCUGGUUUUCCAGGCAAAUCCGGAAAAUCAAGGCUGAGGCGUGAUGACGAGGCACUACGGUGCUGAAGCAACAAAUGCCCUGCUUCCAGGAAAAGCCUCUAAGCAUCAGGUAACAUCAAAUCGUACCCCAAACCGACACAGGUGGUCAGGUAGAGAAUACCAAGGCGCUUGAGAGAACUCGGGUGAAGGAACUAGGCAAAAUGGUGCCGUAACUUCGGGAGAAGGCACGCUGAUAUGUAGGUGAAGUCCCUCGCGGAUGGAGCUGAAAUCAGUCGAAGAUACCAGCUGGCUGCAACUGUUUAUUAAAAACACAGCACUGUGCAAACACGAAAGUGGACGUAUACGGUGUGACGCCUGCCCGGUGCCGGAAGGUUAAUUGAUGGGGUUAGCGCAAGCGAAGCUCUUGAUCGAAGCCCCGGUAAACGGCGGCCGUAACUAUAACGGUCCUAAGGUAGCGAAAUUCCUUGUCGGGUAAGUUCCGA